GUCUACGGCCAUAACCACGUUGAAAGCACCGGUUUCUCGUCCGAUCACCGAAGUUAAGCAACGUCGGGCCCGGUUAGUACUUGGAUGGGUGACCGCUUGGGAAACACCGGGUUGCUGUAGACA